UCUAUCGUGCACGCGCCGGGGAGCAGGCACGUCAGACUGUCUGGAGUCUGUCUCAAAUUGAUCAAAUUGGGGUGAUGGACUUUCGCGUUUCUUUUAUUUGCAUUCAGGACGCCACCGCCGCCGCGUGUUCGAAGCGUGGAACCUUUCGCCUCCUCGCGAAACGUCUUCACCGGCGAGUCACCGAGCUCAGCUGAAUUUUAUCAUUUUAUUUACUUAUUUAUUUAUUUUUUAAACAAAACGCGGUGAAAGUUUUUUGUUUUUUUCUCCCGUAGUCUGUCAGCGGCUAACGCUCAGGUAGGUCACGCGCACAGCGUUACAAAGCCGUUACGUCACAGCGAAAUUAAAAGCCAUAAUUUAAAUUAUCGGGUGAGAAAAGCGUUUGCUCGGUGUUUUUGUUGCGGAGGCUUGACCUUAUUCUCCAGCAUGCGCACUUGCACAGAUGACGCACCUGACGCACACGUAAGGUCAUCAAGUCCAAGAAGAGUGGAUCAUCCAUUUGACAGUGCAGAAUGGUGGAGGACGACGAGGAGGAAGAUGUCAUGCUAAGGAUGGGUUUUGGUGAUGAUGUUGCUGCUGUUGAUGCGCCUCUGUCUGCCAUGAUGCGUAACUACAGAGUGAAUGACAGGGUGGCCCCGGGGGAGAGCAGGGGGCCUGAGGUGAGUCAGAUGAAUCCUUGACCCUGUCUAGCCAUGUGUCAGCAACACAAACUCUGUAAGGAA